UGCUGUGGCCUCUCCCGCUGCGGAGCACACGCUCCGGACGCGCAGGCUCAGCGGCCAUGGCUCACGGGCCCAGCCGCUCCACGGCAUGUGGGAUCUUCCCAGACUAGGGCACGAACCCAUGUCCCCUGCAUCGGCAGGAGGACUCUUAACCACUGCGCCACCAGGGAAGCCCCCUCUUAACCAUUUUUAAGUGUACAUUUCAGUACUAUUAAGUAUAUUAACGUAUUGUGAAAUAGAUCUCCAGAAUUUUAUCAUCUUGCAAAUCUGAAACUCUAUACCCAUUAAACAACUCCUCUUUCCCUCUCUCUUCAGCCUCUAGUAACCACCACUCUACUUCUUGUUUCUAUGAAUUUGACUAAUUUAGAUACCUCAUAUAAGUGGAAUCAUACAGUAUUUGUCAUUUUGUGAUGACUUAUUUCACUUAGCAUAAUGUCCUCAAGAUUCAUCCAUGUUGUACAUGUUGACAGGACUUUCUCCCUUUUUAAGGCUGAAUAACAUUGUAUGUAUGCAUGCACCACACUUUGUUUUCCCAUUCAUCCAUCAAUGGACAUGUGGAUUGCUUCCACUUCUUGACUAUUGUGAACAGUGCUUCUAUAAACAUGGGUGUGAAAAAAUCUCUUCAACACCCUGGUUUCAAUUAUUUUGGAUAUAUACCCAGAAGAGGGAUUGCUAGAUCGUAUGGCAGUUCUAUUUUUAAUAUUUUGAAGAAACUUCAUACUGUUUUCCAUAUGUUAUACCACUUUACAAAUCCACUAAUGGUGCACAAGAGUGCCAAUUUCUAUGCAUCCUUGCUAAUACUUGUUAUUUUCUACUUCUUUGUUUUUAGUAAUUGUCAUCCUAGUGGCUCUGAGGUGGUAUUUCACUGUGGUGUUGCUUUGCAUUUUUAUGAUGAUUAGUGAUGUUGAGCAUCUUUUCAUAUGCUUUUUGGCCAUGAUAUAUCAUCUUUGGAGAAAUGUCUAUUCAAAUUCUUUGCCCGUUUUUAUUUUUUUUUAAAUUUUAUUUAUUUAUUAUUAUUAUUUUUUUUUUGCGGUACACAGGCCUCUCACUGCUGUGGCCUCUCCCGUUGUGGAGCACAGGCUCCGGAUGUGCAGGCUCAGCGGCCAUGGCUCAUGGCCCCAGCCGCUCCGCAGCAUGUGGGAUCUUCCCAGACUGGGGCAUGAACCCAUGUCCCCUGGAUCGGCAGGCGGACUCUCAACCACUGCGCCACCAGGGACGCCCUCUUUGCCCGUUUUUAAUUGGGUCAUUAUAUUUUUUUCUUGUUGAGUUGUAGGACUUCUUUUUAUAUUCUGAACACUAGACCCUCAUCACAUAUAUGACUUGCAAAUGUUUUCUUCCAUUCUUUAUGUUCUCUUUUUACUCUGUUGAUGAUGUCCUUUGAUGCACCAAAGUUUUAAACCUUGAGGUAAUCCCAUAUGUCUAUUUUUGCUUUUGUUGCCUAUGCUUUUGGUGUCAUAUCUAAGAAAACAUUCAGCCCAAUAUCAUAAAGAUUUUCCCUAAUGUUUUCUUCUAAGACUUUUAUAGUUUUAAGUCUUACACUUAGGUCUUUCAUCCACUUUGAGUAAAUUUUUGUAUAUGGUGUAAAGUAAGGGUUCAAUUUCAUUCUUUUGCAUGGGGAUAUUCAGUUUUCCUACUACUAUCUGUUGAAAAGACUAUAAUUUCCUUACUCACUGGUCUUGACAUUCUUGUUGAAGAUCACUUGACCAUAUAUGUGAGUAUUUAUUUCUGGGAUCUCUAUUCUAGUCAUUGAUUUAUGUGUUGGUUUUUUUGCCAGUAUCACACUGUUUUGAUUACUGUACCUUUGUUAUAUGUUUUGAAAUCAGGAAAUAUGAGACCUCCAAAUUUGUUUCUCUUUUUCAAAAUUGUUUGGCUAUUCAGGGUCUCUUGGAGUACCAUAUGAAUUUUAGGAUGUAUUUUUCUAAGUCUACGAAGAAUGUCACUGAGAUUUUGAUAGUGAUCACGUUGAAUCUGCAGAUCACUUUAAGUAGUACAAACCCAUGAACAAGGGAUGCCUUUCCAUUUAUUUGUAUCUUCUUUAAUUUUUUUCACAAUGUUUUGUAUUUUACAGUGUACAAAUCUUUCAUCUCUCUGGUUAGGUUUAUUACUAGAUAUGAUUCUUUUUGAUGCCAUUGUAAAUGGAUUUGUUUUCUUAAUUUUCCUUUUUUAUUGAAGUAUAGUUGAUUUACAGUACUAUAUUAUUUUCAGGUGUAUAGCAUAGUGAUUCAGUAUUUUUAUAGAUUAAACUCCAUUUAAUGGUUUUAUAUAAUAUUGGCUAUAUUCCCUGUGUUGUACAAUAUAUCCUUGUAGCUUAUUUAUUUUAUACAUAGUAGUUUAUACCUCAUAUUUCCUUUCCUCUAUCUUGUCUCUCCCCACUUUCCUCUCCCACUGGGAACCAUUAAUUUGUUCGCUGUAUCUGUAAAUCUAUUUCUGUUUCAGUGUAUUUAUUUAUUUGUUUAUUUUUUAUAUUACAUAUAUAAGUUAAAUUGUAUGGUAUUUGUCUUUCUCCACCUGACAUUUCACUAAGCAUAAUAGCCUCCAUGUUGCAAAAAGCAAAACUUUCUUUAUUAUGGCUGAGUAGUAUUCUGAUAAAUACAUAUAUAUAUACAGAAUACAUAUAUAUGUAUAUAUUGGAAUAUUUAUAUCUUCUUCUGUAUCCAUUCAUCUGUUGAUGGACACUUAGGUUUCUUCCUUAUCUUGGCUAUGGUAAAUAAGCUGCUAUAAACAUUGGGGUGCAUGUGUCUCUUUGAAUUAGUGUUUUCAUUUUCUUCGGAUAUAUAUCCCUGAGUGGAAUUGCUUGGUCAUAUGGUAGUUCUAUUUUUCAUUUUUUGAGGAAUCUGCAUAUUGUUUUCCAUAGCAGCUACACCAUUAACCUUCCCACCAACAGUGUACUAGGGUUCCUUUGCCUCCACAUCCUUGCCAACAUUUGUUAUCUGUGGUCUUUUUGAUUACAGCCAUCAAAUAAACAGGUGUGAGGUGAUAUCACAUUGUGGUUUUGAUUUUCAUUUCUAUGGUGAUUAGCCAUGUUGAGCAUCUUUUCAUGUGCCUGUUGACCAUCUGUCUGUCUUCUCUGGAAAAAUGUCUAUUCAGGUCUUCUGCCCAAUUUUUUAUUGGGUUUUUUGGUGUUUUUUUGAUAUUGAGUUAUACGAGCUGUUCAUAUAUUUUGGAUUAACCCCUAUCAGACAUAUCAUUUUCAAAUAUUUUCUCCCCUUCAGUAGAUUGCCUUUUCAUUUUGUUGAUGGUUUCCUUUGCUGUACAAAAGCUUUUAAGUUUAACUAGAAUCCAUUUGUUCAUUUUUUCUUUUGUUUCCUUUGCCUGAGGAGACAGAUCCAAAAAUAUAUUGCUACAAUCUAUGUCAAAGAGUGUUCUGCCUAUGUUUUCUUCUAGGAUUUUUAUGGUUUCUGGUCUUACAUUUAGAUCUUUAAUCCAUUUUGAGUUUAUUUUUAUAUGUGUUAUGAGAAAAUUUUCUAAUUUCAUUCUUUUACAUUUAGCUGUCCAGUUUUCCCAGCACCACUUAUUGAAGAGACUGUCUUUUCUCUAUUGUAUAUUCUUUCCUCCUUUGUCAUAGAUUAAUUGACCAUUAAGUGCUUGGAUUUAUUUAUGGGCUCUCUAUUCUGUUCCAUUGUUUUAUAGCUUUGUGUCUGAAGUCAAAAAGUGUGAUGGCGGGAGGUGGGGCUGGAGAUGGAGGGGCUAAAGCCAGAGCCAGAUAUGAAUCAGUGUCUAGUUCUCCUAUUCUCAGUGUCUGUCACUGCCCUGUUGGGUCAGUGUCAGAUCCCAAGAUGCUGGAGGAGGAGCCCUGAGAGUCAGGUCUGAGCUGGUUUUAUUACAUAUAGUUACACCCUCUCCCUCUUCUCAGCAAUGGCAGCUUUUUGAUUACUUAUUCAAUCUCCUUACUCAUUAUUAGUCUGCUCAUAUUUUCUGCUUCUUCAUGAUUCAGACUUGGCACACAGGAAGACUACAUUUCCCAGUGUCCCCUGCCUCUGGAUGGGGCCAUGUGAUUAGUUCUGAUCAAUGGAAUUCAACUUCUUGGUCCCGCUCCUACGAUAUACCAUGAGGAUCUUGACUGCUCUCAUUAUCUAUAAGGCAGCUAUCUGAAUACAGAGGACCCAGAAGAAGGUGCAAGAUGAUGGAGGAUCCAUAAGAUGGAAGGGACAGCCAACCAGGAACAUUCACUUUGUUUGUGUGAGGGAGGAAAAAGUCUUUGUAUUAAUCCACUGAGAUUUAGAUUUGUUAUAGUUGUUAGUCCAUUCUGACUGAUACAGAAAUUGGUAAAGAAAGUGGAGUCUUGCUGAAAUUAAAUCCUACAGUAUGUGACAUUAGCAUAGCAGUGGUGGUAAGCAGUGAGGAAGCUAUGCCGGGGGCUGGAGAAAUAGAGAUCCAUGUUGUUAGAGAAAAAAUAUUUGAUAAAAUCAUCAUUUUUUGAAAUGUGGGAGGAAGAUCCCAUGCCUAAUGAGUCAUCAGUACCAAGGAAAAAGGUGGGAAGUAGAGUAUUAACAUGUGUGGAUAUUAUUGGCCUUGAUGGCAGGGUAUUGCAAAGACGAUGUGCAUUCAGGAAAGACUCAGCCAGUGUAAAUGUUGAAAUGAAAGGAAAUUGGGAGAUUCCAGAAAUUUGGCACCUUGAAAGAAGGGAAAGACAAGUAUUUUGAAGGCCCAAAUAGUAAGAGAUAGUAGUUUUAAAGCUUUGAGCAAUAAAGGCUCAGUAAAACUUAUCAGCUGAAUAAAGCCCUCAGGGAAAAUUUUAAAUUUUGGUCUUUUCUGUUCAAGCUGGAUAGGCUCAAGGUAGCUGCCUUUACAUUGAGAGAGAGGCAAAGGAGAGGGGUGGGAAAGCACUUCAGGAUUUGAGAACUAUGACCAGGAAAAAACCUUAGUUAUGAUUAAUAAAUGGAACUGAAAGCAAGUAGAUUAGCAACCCAGUGUUUGAAGGAAUUAAAUUUUGUAAGCUACAACAGCCUGGACAAAAACUGGCUCUAACUGUUUAAUACUUAAAGCAAUCAUCAGAAUGGCAGUGGCAGCACAGUGGGAGGUGAGCCUGGACCCCACAUUCCUCCAUGUACAGAACAUCCUGGGGUCAUCUCUCAUCUGUCAGCAGCCAAGGUAUUUGCAGCAAGUUUCAAUGAAACAAGCACAAUGGACUAAACAUGUUCACUAUCAAAAGGUGAACAUUUACAACUUCCAAUUUUGACCAAGAUGGAUUAAUGGACCAGAUUUAUUUCCACCCAAAAUAACUAAAAAUCUGGACAAAUAUAUGAAACAGUAUUUUUAAGACGUUACAUAUUAGGCAAUGAAGAACAAUGAUUCUUGAAAAAUGGGAAGAAAAUGAGGUGAACCCUGUGACGGUCCCAGCUUAAUUCUUAGAAAGAAAACCAGGGAGAGCUUAGUGGUCUCCUUAUGUUGAAAAGUUGGAUUUGGAAGGCCCAGAUGGCUUGAGUUUGCAGGGCAAAUCAUCAGAGAGGAAGAGUUGCACAGAGAGAGAAGUCUAGAAAUCUGUAGAAGGUUCCUGCAGUAUUCACCUGAGUACUGGCCAGUGUGUGAAUAUGAGAAAAUUUCACAAGGCCUAAGAAAGUAUUGCCCAAAAAAGAUCAGAGGAAAAAUCCCUGUAGCUCACACAGGGACAGACAUAUGUCUGUUUUCAACAUCCAGAGGAAAAUUAUGUAAUUCACAAGUUAUCAGAUGAGUUUGCCUCACUAGUGGGGAAAAUUUAGCCCCUCUACUAAGAUAAACACUACUCUGGCCCUAUCUGAAAAAGCUUAAAAACAAUAUCUGAAAGAAUUAAACUGGCUCUAAGUAACUUAAUCAUGUCCCAUAACAAGAGUCAAGCAUAUUUAUAGGAAUACAGAAACAAAUAGCACAAAACAAGGUAAAAUUUUAAAUGUCUGGCAUACAUUCAAAGAUCGCCAGACAUCCAAUGAAGCAGAAAUGUAUGAUCCAUAAUGAAGAGAAAAAUCAAUCAUUAGAAACUGACCCAGAAAGAAUAUAGAUGAUAGAUUCUACAGAUGGUAGAUUCUAUAGAAGUUAUCAUCAUUAUAGUAGGUUGGGACCUUAACACAGUUAUUAGAACUAUAAUCCAUAUGUUCAGAAAGAUAGAUGAAAGACUGAACUGUUAAGUAGAGACAUAGAAAAUAUAAAGAAUACUCAAAUUGAACUUAUAGACAAGUAAACUAUAAUGUCUGAGAUUUUUAAAAAAUACACUGGAUGCUACAAAUGGUAGAUUAGAUAUUGUGGAAGAGAAGAUUAGUGAAUUUGCAGACAGAGCAAUAGAAACUACCCAAAAUGAAACACAAAAAGGAAAAAUACUACAAAUAAACAAACAAAACAUCAGUGGGCUGUAGGACAACUUCAAGCAUCCUAAAGUCCCUGAAGGAGAGGAGGUGAAAAAUUUUUUUCCAGCUUUGAGGUAUUGCUGACACAUAACAUUGUGUAAGUUUAAGGUGUAUAAUGUGUUGAUUUGACACACCUACAUAUUGCAAAAUGAUUACCACCAUAUCAUUAGGUAACACCUUUAUCACAUUACAUAAUUACCAUUUCUUCUUUGUGGUGAGAACAUUUAAGAUUUACUCUCUUAGCAACUUUCAAAUGCACAGUAUUAUUGUAAAAAUACAGUAUUGUUAACAAUAAUCACCAUGCUGUACAUUAAAUCCCCAGAACUUAUUCAUCUUAUAA